UGUAAAAGUUUAGGAUCUAUAACAUCCAGAUACAUCCGCCCAUACUGGAUGUGUAUUUCUUCGAGGAUCGUGUCCUCAUAUAGAGUACAAUAGUUCUCUUAUUUGGAGUUUAAUCCAUGUAAGCAUGAAGUUUUGCUCAUACGCUUUCAGCCUGCCACUGUUCAAAUCUGCAAGUGGCUGACGCCAUAUGUAGUUGCCAGC